GGGCUGGUAGAUUAGGGGUUAUAUCGCCUGCUUUGCAAGCAGGAGGCCGCGAGUUCGAAUCUCGCUCAGUCCA
rnacentral:tRNA from 1 species